CAGAAAUAUCAGCCUAGUUUAAAAGGCAAAAAUGAUUGAAACUCUGCAUUAGGAAUGGAAAGUCAUUCAUAACUCUACAUCAUAUGAUUAAAAGCUGAGCUAGACUAUUUAUAGCUAAGCACUGUCAAGAGCAAUAUGUGUUGAUGAGAGAACCUGACUGUUAGUACAUUCCUAGAUUAGGUGCAUGUUAAUAUGGCCCGGAUAAAGAAACAAAAGGAAUGAAGAGUGAAGAUAAUACUUAGAAGCUGGGGAAAAUGUUGAGAUUGAUUAGAUAAACAAAAUUGAAAAUCAAAGGGAAAAGGAGCUAAAGUAGAUAAAAUCUUAACUUGCCACCUAUUUGUAAAGCAAUUCUGCUUUCUAAAUGCAGAUCAUAAUGCUUUUAAAAUUUACUUCUAAUAAUCGAUGUCAAUAAUAAUCCUAGUAGUAAUAAUGAUAAUUAAUACUUUAUAAGGGUAGUUAAUUAAUUAUAAUAAAUUAAAAACUGUUAAAUAACAAUGAGUACAUGAGAGUGUAUAUUUCCUGAAGGCGUUUUGGUAAACAAAGGAAAGGAAAAUGUUAGAAUUCUGCUGACCAGAUGCAGAACUACAGCUGAAAUAUCCUUCUGGGAGAAGGAUGUUUUGGAUAGGUAUUUAUCUCCUAUUCAAAUACCUUUGUGUUUCAGGAUGCAUUCAGAACUUGGGUGCUGCCUUGUGCUAGUUCUACAUCGAAACUUCCUUUUGGGAGAAACAGGUCUGCAUUUGAGAUUUUGAUGAUCACAGACAAUGUCAUUAAUAAUAGAUUGGAAAUGAAGAAUGGAGUCUAUUCAUCAAAGACCAUAUCAAAAGAAUAUACCAACUCUGGCUUGUUGGUCUGAUUGCUCUAUGAAAGUGAUAGUGUAGUUUGUACAGCAAAUGCCUAACAGUAGCAGCUGAAGAGUCACUGAAUUACAUGGUUCUCAACAAGAUGCAUGCAUCUUGUCAUCUUUGCAAAUUGUCACAAUAAAAACAUAGAAGGCAACUGGAAAUUUGAUAUG
rnacentral:lncRNA from 1 species